AAUCAACGCUGGCGGCGUGCCUCAGACAUGCAAGUCGUACGAUUAAAGCUCUCUUCGGAGAGUGUAUAGAGUGGCGCACGGGUGAGUAACACGUAAGUAAUCUACCUUCGAGUGGGAAGUAACAGUCGGAACGAACUGCUAAUACCGCAUAAUGCAGCGGCACCUAAUGGUGGACAGUUGUUAAAGACAUUUAUGUGCUUGUAAGAGGAGCUUGCGGCAGAUUAGCUAGUUGGUAAGGUAAUGGCUUACCAAGCGACGAUCUGUAGCGACCUGAGAGGGUGGUCGGUCACACUGACACUGAAUAACGGGUCAGACUCCUACGGGAGGCAGCAGUCGGGAAUUUUGGG
rnacentral:rRNA from 1 species